rnacentral:rRNA from 1 species
GACGAACGCUGGCGGCGUGCUUAACACAUGCAAGUCGAACGGAAAGGCCCUGCUUUUGUGGGGUGCUCGAUUGGCGCACGCGUAAGUAUCACGUGAGUAACCUGCCCUUGACUUUGGGAUAACUUCAGGAAACUCGGGCUAAUACCGGAUAGGAUCUCCUGCUGCAUGGUGGGGGUUGGAAAGUUUCGGCGUUUGGGGAUGGACUCGCGGCUUAUCAGCUUGUUUGUGGGGUAGUGGCUUACCAAGGGUUUGACGGGUAGCCGGCCUGAGAGGGUGACCGGCCACAUGAGGACUGAGGUACGGACCAGACUCCUACGGGAGGCAGCAGUGGAGAAUAUUGCACAAUGGGCGGAAGCCUGAUGCAGCAACGCCGCGUGCGGGAUGACGGCCUUCGGGUUGUAAACCGCUUUCGCAUGUGACGAAGCGUGAGUGACGGUAAUGGGUAAAGAAGCACCGGCUAACUACGUG